rnacentral:rRNA from 1 species
UUAAGCGACUAAGCGUACACGGUGGAUGCCCUGGCAGUCAGAGGCGAUGAAGGGCGUGCUAAUCUGCGAUAAGCGCCGGUAAGGUGAUAUGAACCGUUAUAACCGGCGAUACCCGAAUGGGGAAACCCAGUGUGAUUCGUCACACUAUCAUUAACUGAAUCCAUAGGUUAAUGAGGCGAACCGGGGGAACUGAAACAUCUAAGUACCCCGAGGAAAAGAAAUCAACCGAGAUUCCCCCAGUAGCGGCGAGCGAACGGGGAGGAGCCCAGAGCCUGAAUCAGCAUGUGUGUUAGUGGAAGCGUCUGGAAAGGCGCGCGAUACAGGGUGACAGCCCCGUACACAAAAGCGCAUGUGCUGUGAGCUCGAUGAGUAGGGCGGGACACGUGGUAUCCUGUCUGAAUAUGGGGGGACCAUCCUCCAAGGCUAAAUACUCCUGACUGACCGAUAGUGAACCAGUACCGUGAGGGAAAGGCGAAAAGAACCCCGGCGAGGGGAGUGAAAAAGAACCUGAAACCGUGUACGUACAAGCAGUGGGAGCACAGGUUUACCUGUGUGACUGCGUACCUUUUGUAUAAUGGGUCAGCGACUUAUAUUCUGUAGCAAGGUUAACCGCAUAGGGGAGCCGGAGGGAAACCGAGUCUUAAUUGGGCGUUAAGUUGCAGGGUAUAGACCCGAAACCCGGUGAUCUAGCCAUGGGCAGGUUGAAGGUUGGGUAACACUAACUGGAGGACCGAACCGACUAAUGUUGAAAAAUUAGCGGAUGACCUGUGGCUGGGGGUGAAAGGCCAAUCAAACCGGGAGAUAGCUGGUUCUCCCCGAAAGCUAUUUAGGUAGCGCCUCGUGAAUUCAUCUCCGGGGGUAGAGCACUGUUUCGGCUAGGGGGCCAUCCCGGCUUACCAACCCGAUGCAAACUGCGAAUACCGGAGAAUGUUAUCACGGGAGACACACGGCGGGUGCUAACGUCCGUCGUGAAGAGGGAAACAACCCAGACCGCCAGCUAAGGUCCCAAAGUCAUGGUUAAGUGGGAAACGAUGUGGGAAGGCCCAGACAGCCAGGAUGUUGGCUUAGAAGCAGCCAUCAUUUAAAGAAAGCGUAAUAGCUCACUGGUCGAGUCGGCCUGCGCGGAAGAUGUAACGGGGCUAAACCAUGCACCGAAGCUGCGGCAGCGACGCUUAUGCGUUGUUGGGUAGGGGAGCGUUCUGUAAGCCUGUGAAGGUGGCCUGUGAGGGUUGCUGGAGGUAUCAGAAGUGCGAAUGCUGACAUAAGUAACGAUAAAGCGGGUGAAAAGCCCGCUCGCCGGAAGACCAAGGGUUCCUGUCCAACGUUAAUCGGGGCAGGGUGAGUCGACCCCUAAGGCGAGGCCGAAAGGCGUAGUCGAUGGGAAACGGGUUAAUAUUCCCGUACUUGGUGUUACUGCGAAGGGGGGACGGAGAAGGCUAUGUUGGCCGGGCGACGGUUGUCCCGGUUUAAGCGUGUAGGUGUGUGUUCCAGGUAAAUCCGGUUCACUUUAACACUGAGGCGUGAUGACGAGGCACUACGGUGCUGAAGCAACAAAUGCCCUGCUUCCAGGAAAAGCCUCUAAGCAUCAGGUAACAUCAAAUCGUACCCCAAACCGACACAGGUGGUCAGGUAGAGAAUACCAAGGCGCUUGAGAGAACUCGGGUGAAGGAACUAGGCAAAAUGGUGCCGUAACUUCGGGAGAAGGCACGCUGAUAUGUAGGUGAAGCGGUUUACCCGUGGAGCUGAAAUCAGUCGAAGAUACCAGCUGGCUGCAACUGUUUAUUAAAAACACAGCACUGUGCAAACACGAAAGUGGACGUAUACGGUGUGACGCCUGCCCGGUGCCGGAAGGUUAAUUGAUGGGGUCAGCGCAAGCGAAGCUCCUGAUCGAAGCCCCGGUAAACGGCGGCCGUAACUAUAACGGUCCUAAGGUAGCGAAAUUCCUUGUCGGGUAAGUUCCGACCUGCACGAAUGGCGUAAUGAUGGCCAGGCUGUCUCCACCCGAGACUCAGUGAAAUUGAACUCGCUGUGAAGAUGCAGUGUACCCGCGGCAAGACGGAAAGACCCCGUGAACCUUUACUAUAGCUUGACACUGAACAUUGAGCCUUGAUGUGUAGGAUAGGUGGGAGGCUUUGAAGCGUGGACGCCAGUCUGCGUGGAGCCGACCUUGAAAUACCACCCUUUAAUGUUUGAUGUUCUAACGUGGACCCGUAAUCCGGGUUGCGGACAGUGUCUGGUGGGUAGUUUGACUGGGGCGGUCUCCUCCUAAAGAGUAACGGAGGAGCACGAAGGUUGGCUAAUCCUGGUCGGACAUCAGGAGGUUAGUGCAAUGGCAUAAGCCAGCUUGACUGCGAGCGUGACGGCGCGAGCAGGUGCGAAAGCAGGUCAUAGUGAUCCGGUGGUUCUGAAUGGAAGGGCCAUCGCUCAACGGAUAAAAGGUACUCCGGGGAUAACAGGCUGAUACCGCCCAAGAGUUCAUAUCGACGGCGGUGUUUGGCACCUCGAUGUCGGCUCAUCACAUCCUGGGGCUGAAGUAGGUCCCAAGGGUAUGGCUGUUCGCCAUUUAAAGUGGUACGCGAGCUGGGUUUAGAACGUCGUGAGACAGUUCGGUCCCUAUCUGCCGUGGGCGCUGGAGAACUGAGGGGGGCUGCUCCUAGUACGAGAGGACCGGAGUGGACGCAUCACUGGUGUUCGGGUUGUCAUGCCAAUGGCACUGCCCGGUAGCUAAAUGCGGAAGAGAUAAGUGCUGAAAGCAUCUAAGCACGAAACUUGCCCCGAGAUGAGUUCUCCCUGAGACUUAGAGUCUCCUGAAGGAACGUUGAAGACGACGACGUUGAUAGGCCGGGUGUGUAAGCGCAGCGAUGCGUUGAGCUAACCGGUACUAAUGAACCGUGAGGCUUAACCUU